UGGGGAAUAUUGGACAAUGGGCGCAAGCCUGCUCCAGCCAUGCCGCGUGCGUGAUGAAGGCCCUAGGGUUGUAAAGCUCUUUCACCGGUGAAGAUAAUGACGGUAACCGGAGAAGAAGCCCCGGCUAACUUCGUGCCAGCAGCCGCGGUAAUACGAAGGGGGCUAGCGUUGUUCGGAUUUACUGGGCGUAAAGCGCACGUAGGCGGACUUUUAAGUCAGGGGUGAAAUCCCGGGGCUCAACCCCGGAACUGCCUUUGAUACUUGAAGUCUUGAGUAUGGUAGAGGUGAGUGGAAUUCCGAGUGUAGAGGUGAAAUUCGUAGAUAUUCGGAGGAACACCAGUGGCGAAGGCGGCUCACUGGACCAUUACUGACGCUGAGGUGCGAAAGCGUGGGGAGCAAACAGG
rnacentral:rRNA from 1 species